rnacentral:rRNA from 1 species
UACGGAGGAUGCGAGCGUUAUCCGGAUUUAUUGGGUUUAAAGGGUGCGUAGGCGGGUUAUCAAGUCAGCGGUAAAAUCGUGGAGCUCAACUCCAUCCAGCCGUUGAAACUGAUGAUCUUGAGUGGGCGAGAAGUAUGCGGAAUGCGUGGUGUAGCGGUGAAAUGCAUAGAUAUCACGCAGAACUCCGAUUGCGAAGGCAGCACACCGGCGCCCGACUGACGCUGAAGCACGAAAGCGUGGGUAUCGAACAGG